rnacentral:rRNA from 1 species
UACGUACCGUGCAAACGUUAUUCGGAAUCACUGGGCGUAAAGGGCGCGUAGGCGGCCAUUCAAGUCAGGGGUGAAAGCCUGUGGCUCAACCACAGAAUUGCCUUUGAUACUGUUUGGCUAGAGACCGGAAGAGGUAAGUGGAACUGCGAGUGUAGAGGUGAAAUUCGUAGAUAUUCGCAAGAACACCAGUGGCGAAGGCGGCUUACUGGUCCGGUUCUGACGCUGAGGCGCGAAAGCGUGGGGAGCAAACAGG